rnacentral:lncRNA from 1 species
AGCCCGCUGCUGGCCGUGUCCUUCGCCACCUGCUGCGCUGUUCCGGGGGUCGCCCUGCUGACCUGGGGGGUGAAUCCGCUCACGGGAGCCCUGGGCGUCUUCAACAUUUUCCUGUACACCUGCUGCUACACGCCGCUCAAGAGGGUCAGCAUCGCCAACACGUGGGUCGGGGCCGUGGUGGGCGCCAUCCCUCCGGUCAUGGGCUGGACAGCAGCCACGGGCAGCCUGGACGCUGGAGCAAUUCUUCUGGGAGGAAUCCUCUACUCCUGGCAGUUUCCCCAUUUCAACGCCCUGAGCUGGGGCCUCCGCGAAGACUACUCCCGGGGCGGCUACUGCAUGAUGUCGGUCACCCACCCGGCGCUGUGCCGCCGUGUCGCCCUGCGCCACUGCCUGGCUUUGAUCGCACUCUCCGCCGCGGCCCCUGCCCUGGAUGUCACCACGUGGACCUUCCCGGUCAUCGCCCUCCCCAUCAACCUGUACAUUUCCUACCUCGGCUUCCGGUUCUACAGGGACGCGGACCGGAAGAGCUCCCGGAAGCUGUUCUUCUGCAGCCUCUGGCACCUGCCUCUGUUCCUGCUGCUGAUGCUGACCUGCAAGCGGCCGGCCGGGCGGGGCGACGCCAGGGAGCCUCAGGGCUGACGUCACGCUGUCGUGCGGGAACGGCGAGAAACAUAGGAGACGCACAGGUUGUUUUGUUUUGUUUUUCCUCUCUGCUGUUAGGCAGGAAUAUUUUGGUAAUCUGAAAACACCAAGAGAGAAAUCGCAGGGUUUGGGACAAGGUUGUAACAUAAUUGGUGCUCAGGGCUCGCUCAACAACUUUUGUAAAUGGUGAUAUCCAAAAUGCUCCCCAUUAGGACUGCGUUGACUCGGUCGAUUAACACAAGGAGUGGUUAACCCCUUUGCGGGUCGUUAUGGAGCUCUCGCGCCAGCCCCACCCUGUCUGCUCAUCCUCUCCCUCAGGUAGAAGUGCAGGUGAGCCUUUCCUGGUCCCUCCACACAUACUCCCCACCUGCCAGCCAGACAAGGUGCGAGCUCACACUGUGGUAUCUGUGGUUCUGUGGCCUCCGGUCCCUGCUGGGACAGCCCCCCUUGUUGUGAAUGAGCCAGGGCCCCUCUUUCUGCUCCCUUCGCCCCACACCUCCUCAGCCUGACCAUCCCUCAGACAAAACCACGGAUGUGCUGCCGCUCGGCCUUGGCAGGAAGAAUUCCAAACGGUUGCCCAGGGAACCUCAGGCUGGACCGCCAGCCCCCCCACCCCAGACCCCCAACCCCGACCUGUCAGCUUUCAGAAACUCCAAGCAAUCAAAGGCAUCUUUAAAGUUCGCUUUACUAUAUAGGAGGUAUCAGAGCAUUUCUUUCUGGAAGGGUCUCUCUCGACUUAAAACCAGAAAUCCCUCCAGCUCUGAUCCAUCAAUUCCUCUUUAUUCACGACUGUGGUUGUCGGCUUCUCUUUGCUGCAAGGCUCUGAGGCCAAAGGAGAAGGGGAAUCAGAAAAGGGUGAGCAGGGCCAGCCAGCCCACGCAGCUCACGUUCCUGUCCCUUUAGUGGAAAGCACAUUUCCAUCCUUCUAUCUUCUGAAUUCAGAAAUGAGCCUUCACGUGUCCAGUGGCUUUGAGAGCCAGAAGCAGGUGCUGGCCCCCUGUGGGGGUGCUCCUGGUCCUGGGAGGGGUGGGUCCCCGCAGCCAGGUGUGCCUCCAUCCCUCAGGCUUCACGUCCGUCCCCUCAUCCACUCUCCACUCCCACUUGCCUGAAGGUCUUGAAGCUUAACAGGAUGUUUUCAUUACUCAGGCUCCAGGGGCAUGGCUGCCCUGGAAGGAAUUCAUUCGGGGAGUUUAAGCAACACUUAGGCAGUCAUUGCAGUAUGCCUGUUCUCUCACAACUCCCCAAAACAAUGCAGUUAGUAUCUGAUGUCUGUUUCCACUUACCUGAAACACUCUCUCUUGGCCGUGUCCAGAUGGCACUGUGGGAAGUGACACAGGCAUGUCGUGGGGGGCAGGGGGUUGGGGGGCGGCACCCGCAGCCCUCAGAUUUGUAAAGCGCAUCGGUUCUCUUUUCCUGCUGCAAUAAACCAGCCCCUCAGAAC